rnacentral:rRNA from 1 species
GUCCACGCCCUAAACGAUGUCAACUAGUUGUUGGGGGCCUUACCGCCCUUAGUAACGCAGCUAACGCGUGAAGUUGACCGCCUGGGGAGUACGGUCGCAAGAUUAAAACUCAAAGGAAUUGACGGGGGCCCGCACAAGCGGUGGAUGAUGUGGAUUAAUUCGAUGCAACGCGAAAACCUUACCUACCCUUGACAUGUACGGAAGUCCGAUGAAAGUUGGAUGUGCCCCGAAAGGGAGCCGUAACACAGGUGCUGCAUGGCUGUCGU